UACGAAGGGGGCUAGCGUUGUCCGGAUUUAUUGGGCGUAAAGAGCUCGUAGGCGGUGUGUCGCGUCGGCCGUGAAAACCUGCAGCUUAACUGUGGGCUUGCGGUCGAUACGGGCAUCACUGGAGUUCGGCAGGGGAGACUGGAAUUCCUGGUGUAGCGGUGAAAUGCGCAGAUAUCAGGAGGAACACCGGUGGCGAAGGCGGGUCUCUGGGCCGAUACUGACGCUGAGGAGCGAAAGCGUGGGGAGCGAGCAGG
rnacentral:rRNA from 1 species